rnacentral:lncRNA from 1 species
CGUCAUUUGACAUUGACUGUGAAUCUGAAUUGGUCAGUGAAUUAACGGAUGAGAAAAUAAUUAUAAAAAACAAAAUCGCUCCACGUCGGACAUCUCCCGACGACGAGCGUAAUUGACGGAGUGGCGUUUGAUUUAUAAACAAAAAUGUAGCAAAACGUCUAUCUUCAUCUUCUUUUAUUUUUACAUUUACAUCUAAAUCAACACAAAAAUAAACUGUCGUCUGUUGUGUCACCUAUAAUCCCUUGUCAGUAUAUGCCAAAAUUAUUUGGUGUCGACUUCCGUUUACCUCUACAAUCCGAACACCUGCGAAAACCGAAC